UUACGACCACAUCACGUUAAAACACCGGCUCCCGUAUGAUCACCGAAGUUAAGCAACGUCGGGCCGGAUCAGUACCUAGAUGGGUGACCACUUGAGAAUAUCAGGUGCUGUAAG